rnacentral:lncRNA from 1 species
CCCCAGGCUCCCUAGUUACAGUCACUAAGCACUCAUUGGAGUGGGGUUAGGAGAAAGGGAUUCAGGUUAGUGAAAUGCUCUGUGGGCAUCUGUAGUCCAGUGUACUCUGCUCAUUGCUUCACACUGCCUUCUCUGCUCUGUAGCAGUGGCUCAUUUACUAGACCCAACAGACUUGAUUGGGAAUCCAGGUGACUUGUUUUUAAUGUAUCCCUAAGUGAAU